GCAAGUCGAACGAGAACCAGUGAGUUCGUAAGAACCCGCUGGGGACAGUGGCGAACGGGUGCGUAACACGUGAGAAACCUGCCCUAAGGACCGGGAUAGCGCGGGGAAACCCGCAUUAAUACCGGAUACCUUCACCGGACCGCAUGGUCUGAUGAAGAAAUGGUCCGCCGCUCCAGGAUGGUCUCGCGGCCUAUCAGCUUGUUGGCGAGGUAACGGCUCACCAAGGCAUCGACGGGUAGCUGGUCUGAGAGGACGAUC
rnacentral:rRNA from 1 species